UACGGAGACUGCGAGCGUUAUUCGGAUUCACUGGGCGUAAAGGGUGCGCAGGCGGCCAAGUGUGUUAGGCGUGAAAGCCUGGGGCUUAACCUCAGAAUUGCACCUAAAACUACAUGGCUAGAGCAUUGGAGAGGGUAGCGGAAUUCACGGUGUAGCAGUGAAAUGCGUAGAUAUUGGGAGGAACACCAGAUGCGAAGGCGGGUCACUGGGCUGAUACUGACGCUGAAGCGCGAAAGCCAGGGGAGCGAACGGG
rnacentral:rRNA from 1 species